rnacentral:rRNA from 1 species
CGGGGCGGCGUGCUUACCAUGCAGUCGACGGUGAAGAGGAGCUUGCUCCUUGGAUCAGUGGCGAACGGGUGAGUAACACGUGAGCAAUCUGCCCUUGACUCUGGGAUAACUGCGGGAAACUGUAGCUAAUACCGGAUAUUACCUUGGAAGGCAUCUUCUGGGGUGGAAAGAAUUUUGGUCAAGGAUGAGCUCGCGGCCUAUCAGCUAGUUGGUGAGGUAAUGGCUCACCAAGGCGACGACGGGUAGCCGGCCUGAGAGGGUGACCGGCCACACUGGGACUGAGACACGGCCCAGACUCCUACGGGAGGCAGCAGUGGGGAAUAUUGCACAAUGGGCGCAAGCCUGAUGCAGCAACGCCGCGUGAGGGACGACGGCCUUCGGGUUGUAAACCUCUUUUAGUAGGGAAGAAGCGACUGGGUUUUCCUGGGAGUGACGGUACCUGCAGAAAAAGCACCGGCUAACUACGUGCCAGCAGCCGCGGUAAUACGUAGGGUGCAAGCGUUGUCCGGAAUUAUUGGGCGUAAAGAGCUCGUAGGCGGUUUGUCGCGUCUGCUGUGAAAACCCGAGGCUCAACCUCGGGCCUGCAGUGGGUACGGGCAGACUAGAGUGCGGUAGGGGAGAUUGGAAUUCCUGGUGUAGCGGUGGAAUGCGCAGAUAUCAGGAGGAACACCAAUGGCGAAGGCAGAUCUCUGGGCCGUAACUGACGCUGAGGAGCGAAAGCAUGGGGAGCGAACAGGAUUAGAUACCCUGGUAGUCCAUGCCGUAAACGUUGGGAACUAGAUGUGGGGACCAUUCCACGGUCUCCGUGUCGCAGCUACCGCAUUAAGUUCCCCGCCUGGGGAGUACGGCCGCAAGGCUAAAACUCAAAGGAAUUGACGG